UAUAUAACGCAAGGCUCCCAGGAUCAGAUAUUUCAGGUGAUGAAACUGAUAAUAGUCGAAUUACAUGGGAAAAUAGUCGGCGAUCGCCAUAAGUAUUGGAGCAGUUGGCAUUUGAAGAUUCAAAUUAUCAGUUUAAAUGUAGCUUGGGUGAAUCUUGGUGAUGAUCGUGGAAGCAUCUAUCCCCAAUGUUGCAGACAGUUUAUGGACUGUGUCUAUAUAUUUCUCCACUCUCUGAAGCCUUUCAUUCUGUCAAAGAAAAUCGAAAAGAAUUGCCGCAUCUCCCUUAGAGCUGGAGUUAUGGAAUCAAGCUGCUCUUUCAAAGUUCCCGCCAUCUUUUCUGGCUGAUCAGACACGUCCAAUCAACAUAUACUAUUGGAUGGAACAAGUUUGGACGAUAAUCAUUGCGUACCCGUCCAGGAAGAGAACAUUCUCCAAGGGACAACAGAAGAUGCGUAAACUCAGCCUCGGCUUCUGCAAGUUCUUGAUGAAGUCGAGAUCUCGACACGUUUGCGCCAUCAACUUUUUUCCGGUUGAAAGUAGAAUGGAGAGAGGUUAGGGAUACCAAGAUUGUGAAGGACUCAAUGAAACUGAUAAAGACAUUGGCGUUAGUGACUUCACAGCUCCAACGAAUUGCUUCCUCCAUAGGUAUUGUUAUAUUAUAUCUCAAUUUUUUGUUUUUGUUAACAAUUUUUU